AUUCAAACAAAAAAUAUUUUUAUUUUAAAAUUUAAUUGUAAUCUUUUGAAUUGAAAUGACAUAUCAGUUGGAGGCACAGGAAUACGCGUUUUUUAGCACCAAAAACUGUAAUUUGAAAUGUCGAAUUGUAUUGCUGAACAUGACUCAAACAAAGCUUCGACGUGGGACAACAAGAAUUAAUGAUUACAAUUGUUCCGGUGGAGUUUUUAAUGCUAGCAAUCUCACUUUGCCAUUAGCAAACAGUUCCCGGGCGUAUCACCUUGCAAGUUAGCCGGAUCACAAUGUGGACAAAUUGCAGACAUCAAUCCAAUGAAAAAUAGUACGUCGUAUUCGUGAUCAAAGUGCAAUUUCAGUACAAAUAUAGGAUCAACAGAUUUAUUUCGUGUCGUUUCGUAGUCAGAACAUAACUCGAAGAUUUGGUUUGGAUAUGUGAGCCCGUUUUUAAGUUAUAAAAUUAAAACGAAAAGUGGCAUUGCAUUUUAUAUACAUUCUAAAGGACCCGUCCACGCUUUACUGUGGCUGAUACAUAGAGGGUACUACUAAUACAAUCUACAUGAUUUCUAGUCAGCCCUUACCUUUAAAAACGCGUAUGCAAAUUUAACAACUGAGGAACUACUAGUUAAUGAGAUAUAGCAUUUUGUGUAA